CGUGUAGGCGGCCUAUCAAGUCAGAUGUGAAAGCCCUCGGCUUAACCGAGGAAGUGCGUCUGAAACUGAUGGGCUUGAGUGCCGGAGAGGAUGGCGGAAUUCCGCAAGUAGAGGUGAAAUUCGUAGAUAUGCGGAGGAACACCGGUGGCGAAGGCGGCCAUCUGGACGGCAACUGACGCUGAGACGCGAAAGCGUGGGGAGCAAACAGGAUUAGAUACCCUGGUAGUCCACGCCGUAAACGAUGAGAACUAGGUGUCGUGGGUGUUGACCCCCGCGGUGCCGCAGCUAACGCAUUAAGUUCUCCGCCUGGGAAGUACGGCCGCAAGGUUAAA
rnacentral:rRNA from 1 species